ensembl:rRNA 5S_rRNA 5S ribosomal RNA
UAUUAAAGCCAUACUACCCUGAAUGUGCCUGAUCUCACCUGCUCUCAGAAGCUAAGCAGGGUUGGGCCUAUUAGUACUUCCAUGGCAGACUGCCUGGAAAUAGCAGGUGCUAUAGGUU